UGUAAAGGAGGCCGUGAAAAACACUCCAGAAAGGUUUUCUUUGAAAAAAAAAUCAUCAUGAAUUUUGGCGCAAAAAAACGCCAUAGUAUAGUAUGUCGAAAAAAAAAUGCGAUUUUUCAACAUGUUGUAAAAACGUGCCAUAUGAUGAAAUAAUGUAAAGGAGGCCGUGAAAAACACUCCAGAAAGGUUUUCUUUGAAAAAAAAAUCAUCAUGAAUUUUGGCGCAAAAAAAACGCCAUAGUAUAGUAUGUCGAAAAAAAAAUGCGAUUUUUCAAACAUGUUGUAAAAACGUGCCAUAUGAUGAAAUAAUGUAAAGGAGGCCGUGAAAAACACUCCAGAAAGGUUUUCUUUGAAAAAAAAAUCAUCAUGAAUUUUGGCGCAAAAAAACGCCAUAGUAUAGUAUGUCGAAAAAAAAAUGCGAUUUUUCAACAUGUUGUAAAAACGUGCCAUAUGAUGAAAUAAUGUAAAGGAGGCCGUGAAAAACACUCCAGAAAGGUUUUCUUUGAAAAAAAAAUCAUCAUGAAUUUUGGCGCAAAAAAACGCCAUAGUAUAGUAUGUCGAAAAAAAAAUGCGAUUUUUCAACAUGUUGUAAAAACGUGCCAUAUGAUGAAAUAAUGUAAAGGAGGCCGUGAAAAACACUCCAGAAAGGUUUUCUUUGAAAAAAAAAAUCAUCAUGAAUUUUGGCGCAAAAAAACGCCAUAGUAUAGUAUGUCGAAAAAAAAAUGCGAU
ensembl:lncRNA